GGCCUUUCAGACAGGCAAGCUGGUGAGCCAAUCAGAAUCAUCCAGCAGUUGGUUCCCUGGAAACAGAAUCAGUUAAACUGUCAGAGCCCCAACCAGACUGUCUUGCGAAUCUGGACAAGAUGGCCCUUCUUGAGUCAGUCUGGACUCCAGACUGAGGUGCACUAGUGAGUCAGGGGAAUGUUGGUGGAAAGAUGGAAGUCAGGAAGGUGACCAGUGGUCAACAGGCUCAAGCCAUCCAGGCACACACACCAUGUGGGUGUGCCCAGCACCUUGGGGGAUGAAACAGCUUCUAGUAGAGGGACUCCCCUGGAUAGGAAGCCACUGUGCCUGCUUAUACUGAAGACCAGCUGAGACAUCCAGCUUUGUGGACUGAACAACUUCCGGAUUCUUGGACUUUCUGUUCAUGUUCAUAGCCUGCCAUUGUUGGACUAGCUACUAGCUGAAUCACAGCGUGGUCCCUUGUGAAGGAGGGAAAUGGCGGUGCCAUGGAAUUAGGACCUGAGAUCAGCCAGAUUCACCUAACUAGACCAAGGGAUACUGUGUUUUCUUAUGUUUGUGGCUGAGUUGGAAUCCUUUUGUUUCUUCUUCUUGCCAACUUUCUUCCUAGAACGUCCAACUCACUGUUGACUAGAAAUAUCUAUCGAAGGUGGUAUCCCCAUCUUACUGUUCAUCUGUGGGCUUUCACAGGUGUCCUCUAUCGGCAGGAGGUGUGUUCUCUUCUUGGUCCUCCCUCAACAACUGCUUUCCUUAUGAAGAGGCACUAGAUUUAUGUACCCCAUACUUUGUCUG
ensembl:antisense